rnacentral:rRNA from 1 species
UACGUAGGCAGCGAGCGUUGUUCGGAAUUACUGGGCGUAAAGAGUGUGUAGGCGGUGCUCCCAGUCUGUUGUGAAAUCUCCCGGCUUAACUGGGAGGGUGCAGCGGAAACUAGAGUGCUAGAGGGUGGGAGAGGUAAGCGGAAUUCCUGGUGUAGCGGUGAAAUGCGUAAAUAUCAGGAGGAACACCUGUGGUGUAGAUAGCUUACUGGACCACUUCUGACGCUGAGACACGAAAGCGUGGGUAGCAAACAGG